rnacentral:lncRNA from 1 species
UAACCUAACAGAGUGUCCAUGAGGAUGCAGGUUCAAUCCCCGGUCUCGCUCAGUGAAUUAAGGAUCUGGUGUUGCUGUGAGCUAUGGUGUAGGCUCGGAUCCCAAGUUGCUCUGGCUGUGGUGUAGGCCGGCAGCUACAGCUCCAAUUUGACUCCUAGGCUGGGAACUUCCAUAUGCUGCAGGUGUGGCCCUAAAAUAAAAAAAAUAAAGAGAGAGAGAGAGAGAAUGAGGCUCAGACACAUGCAGGAUUUGCCCUUGGAAGCCAGACCUGUUGUCUCUAGUUUCUGCUAUUUCUACUCCCUCUUUGCCGCCAUCUAGUAAACUUGACUGUGUCCCCAUCUGUGAAAUGGGCCCUGGAUACCAGGUAGCAAAUGUCUCUAAGCCAAACCAUGGGGGAAGAACUCCAACCUCAUAAUGGGAAGGAGCAACAGACAGCAAAGGAGAGGUGUCCAAGCAGGCCGCCGUGGACUUGCUGUGACUCCAGAGGUGCUGAAAGGAGGUGAGAGUCCUGGGAUCAGAGCCACAGAGUUGAUGACCCCCAGCAUAGCCAGCAGCAGGGGCGCUGCAGGCCCAGCCCCUGCCCCGGGGCACCUGGAGAAGCGGGGUCUGGGUGGGGACUCCACACACCCCGGGUUGCACUGCGUUGAGGAUCCCAGGGCCAGGGGCUCAGCACUUGUAGCAGGCAGCCACUUGGCAGUCACACUGGUCACCUUAGCCAGCCCCUGGGUAUGUGACUGCCUGCAGAAACUGCCCAGCACCAGGGAUGGUUAGGCUUUGCGGUUGGCAUACUCAGCAGAAUAAGCAGGGGAGCCCAGGGAGCCUGGGCAGCGCGGGGUGGGACUGGGGCCCCCGCAGAAAACACAGACCCCACAACUGAGUCUCAGUGCUAUCCCCGACGUGCUGUGUGGCUUCAGGCCCGUGGCUGCCCCUUUAGGUCUCAGUUUGCUCACCUGGGAAAUGGGGAGAACAGUUCCCACCUGGCUGGGCGUGGAGACUGACAGGAAACGGUAUGUAAGUGCCGAGCCAGGGGUGAGGGUCUGAGGGCUUGAGACAGGAGCUGCAUCUUUGAGGGGUUUGGGUCCAGGAACCACAUCUCAGUCCCGGGUCUCCCCUGGGGCUCCAAGGAGGAGCCGCAGCUCCUCAGAUCAACAGCUGUCCUUUCCUCCCUCAUGGAAACCUACUAACAUGUCAGGACCUGUCCCCUCCCAGGGCCCCUUAGGUUCCAGGGCCUGAAGUGGCCCUUUCCUGUCUGUCCCCCGCUCCUUGUAAAUCGUAGGGGCUGCCCUGCUCAGGAAUGGGGCAUGAGGGGUCUGGGGGGGGGUCCGUCUGGUUAAAGAGCAUGUGAGGGUGGGCAAGGGCCUGUGCCUGGGAGGGUGCACCAGCCCCCCAGACCGGGGCCAGAGAGCAGAUGGGGGUGCUCGGGAGCCAUGGGUCCUGAUUAUUGCUGAGUUACCACGUGAUCAAGCCAUUGUCCACGGAGCUGGACCCCGUGCCUGACUUGACACUGGUUUCUGGGUUUGCAGCCUCCAGGAAGGUGGAGGUUGGAGAAGAUGCUGGAAUCACCCAGCUGCUCCCUCUCCAGGGGUCCCUAGUGUGUGUGCUACUGCCCCGACCCCCCUGGGAGUCCCAGGCCCCCGCCCAGGGAUCCUAAGCCUUAAAUGGGUGGGAACCCUAGAACCUGCACUGCAAGGAUACCCUGUCUCUGCCCAGGCCUGGGCAGGAGACUGGCUUUGGCCUGGGGAUAGGAGAUACUGGGUGAGUCCCUCCCUUCCUCUGAGGCUCCCUGGCCCUCUGUGAGAGGGGUUACUGCUUUCUGCUUCCAUGGCUGCUUCUACCAAAAGUUCUGUGGGAUGCUGCCGAGGAACGUGCCAUGGCCUGUGUUUGGCACACAGUAGGCACUUGUCAAUGUGACCAUCCUGGCAACUCCAGCACCAGCAAGUACUAAGCAACACAACAGUCAUGAGAGCUGACCUGCUGCAUGCUUCUCAUGCUAAGUGUUGCCUUCCGCACAAUUUGGGGACCUGGGCACCUUUUUGGCCCCUUUUACAGAAGAGACCAGUGAGGUUUAGAGAGCAGGCUUGCAGGGGAAGUGGACGGACUGGGCCGCAAACUCAGGCCUCUUUGUCUGGCCUGGCCCACGUGCCUUCUCCCAUUAGGUGGAGAAACAGUGGCCCUGGAGCUGUCUGUGGCAGUGCGGUUACUAUAGCAGCCACCUCAGCCCCCGAGAGGGGAAGUGGAAAAUAGGCCAGAGCAGUAAUGAGGCUGCACGGUUCUGAUCUGUCCCCUGAUGGGAUCAGGCUUCACAAGCCUUCUUCCCACAUCAGAGGCAGCCCAGUGUCUGGGCCGUGGAUCAAAGGCCAGUCGUCUCUGCGCCCAGACACUGCGCCUGGCUCAGGCCUCAGAAGGUCCCCCCUUGAUCCUCCCACAGUGAGUCAUGCUGUUGCUGGCACCAGCCUCUGCCUGUUCCCUAAGGAUGUCACUUGCUGCCUGGAUCGGCAGUGAGCAGCGGUCCUGAGAAGGGCUCGUGCCCCAAACAGCUUGCACGGGGCUGCCCGAGACCCCACCUUGGGACCCAUAUGGCUUCCUUUCAAGGGGCAGCUCAUGGAGGGCAAGGGGCUUUUCAUGCUGGCAAACCCAGGUUUGACUCUGUGGUCCAUGUGGGGCUCUGGUCCUCUGACUCCCUUCCUCCGAUGGUCAACGUCCUUGUCUCAGUGCUGUGCAAAGAGGUGAUGCCUGCAAUGGCUCAGAAUGCAGCAGAGCAGACACAAGUCCUGCCUCCCCAUCAUGCUGUGGGACCUUGACCACACAUUCAACCUCUCUGAGCCUGUUUCCUCAUCCUCUUGUGACGAUGAAACAAGGUGACAAGUUUGCUCAAACCUUGUCUUCUCAGGCGGCUUCUCUAGCAACUGAACCCCACCCCUGCUCUCCCACCAAAAUCUAUAUAAUUUAUUUAUGCAGUAGGGUUACUGUUCCUUGUCCAACUGCCCCCCUGGAAUGUCAGCCCCUCUGGCGUGAGAGCAGGGAUCUUCCAUUUGUUUUCUAACGUAUCCCAAGUAAUAGAACAGCGCCGGGCAUGCAGUGGACGGAAGCUUGUUGAGUGAUUAUGUGUGGUCCCUAGAGCAGGACGGCUGCAUCAGUGACCACCCCCGUUUUCUCUCUGGCUCCCUCUCCUUUCCUGGCACAACCCCAGGCUUCUGCUGUGACCUCACCCCAUGCAUUCACAUCCCCCUCUGGUCCUGGAGCCCCUGGGCCUCAGCUUGGGAAAGGCGGGGACACCUGAGCCAACAGCCUGGGUCUGUGUGGUCCAUGGAAGCCUCUGCCCACGCCCCCAUGUGAGGUCGGGCCUCCUCUGCCAGCUCUGGGGAAAUUUCCAGAAGGGCUCCUGAGACGCAAGGAGGGGAGCAGCUUGUCCCAAUCUUCAUAGCUAAGACCACAGGGUUCUGGGCUCGGGGUUCCCUCUCUGCCGAAGACCCCUGGGGGCCACAUCUGCCCAGUGAGGUUGUGACGGGUGGGUAUGAGCUGCCCUGGGAUGCCCUAGAAGACCACAGACCCGGCCUCCUCCAGAAUUCCGGCCUCUCCCUGCCUGUCUCCUGUCUCCCUCCCCGGAAUCCAGUUCCUUCCAGAGAAACCAAAGUGAACCCACUGAGAGCGCCCAGAAUAAACAGUGACUAUAGGAGGAGACCCACCCCCGUGGAGCAGGGAGGAGGAUCGGGAAACACAGACAGAACCGAAGUGCAAGUGGGCUCCCGGCUUCCUGUCCUCAAGAUGCUUAUGUGAAGGAGAUGCACCAGAAAAUUCCACUCAGCAAAGGCUGCUCCUCGUAAUUAACGCUGCAGGGAAACAAGGACAGAACAGCAAAGGGCUCAUCCGGGGCAGGUCCACCGACGUGGGGUCACGUGGGCUAUGUCCCUGGGGCUUCAGGACCCGUGUCACCCCCUCAGCAUGCAGAGACCUGGGCGGGGGGACCAGGUGGGGGGGGUGUGGAGGCGGGGGCUCCUGGGGACCCUGCAUGUUAGUGCCCAGAAGCUCCUGGUGUCUUCCCCCUGCAGACACGGGGGAAGGGCAAGUCCCUUCCUUCUCUCCGAGCAGAGGAGUUUCAGAUCUGUCAGCCCCUUCAUGGCAUCUGCAACGCACGGGAUCUUGGAAUUAGAGCAUCUUUCACAGACUCACAGACGCUUUCACACAGUCUUUGAAUCACAGAACCUGAGAAUCCUAGAAUUCUAGAAUCAUAGGACCAUUCAAGGACUUACGGGCCUGAGAGUCGUAGAAUUAAGGAAUCUCUGGAGAAGACCUGGAGCCUCACCCACAGCUUAUUGGACCCUUGGAAUCGCAGCAUCAACUCUGAUAAACCUGGCAUUGAAACAGUCACCCUGAAGUCAGAACCGUAGCACAGGAAUCGACCUUUGUCCAGAGCCCACCUCCCACCCCCCCGGUUCAUGCAGAAGCCUUCUCUUCACUGUCCUAUAAUAACUUGAAUUCUUGCAGGGACGGGGAGCUUACCACCUGGCAGGGGAACCUGACUACUGGGCCCAUCAGGCUGCUGCUGCUGAGCCUAAAUUUGCUUCCAUGUGACCCACCCACUCCUCUGUCCACAUUUUGUGCCUUCCACCCCCCUCAACAUCCUGCCCCCACAAAGAGCUAAAUGUGAAAACUAGUGGACGGGAAACCAUUGAAGAAGCAAUUUGUCCUGGAAAAAACACAGUCCAGUUUGACCUUCAGGCUGUAGAGGUCAGUCUUCCUCCACAGCCAGCCUGGCACCAGCCGUGGGACGCUCAGCCCACAUCCAUUCACCAAGGGUUGAAAGGUGAUGAGAACAAUCGAGAUGUAGGGAGGGGUGGGGAGGCUGAGCAUGCCCUUUGAGGGGGUGGAUGAAGGGAUGCUGCCUUCUUGCACUGGAAAGGAUGCCCCGAGCCAGUGGACAAGGCUGGUCUGUGAGUCAGCCGACCUAGUCAGAGUUAUCCCAACUCUGCUACUGACUGCUAGGCUACUUUGAAUAAGUUAGGGUCUCAGAGCCUCAGUUUCUCCAUUUGUAAACUGGGCUAAUGAAGCCCACUCUUAAUCCGUGCCCAGGCUGCAGUGGACUCACUGAGGAUGCUCACUUCUUAUGUGGUCCUUGGCUCAUGGCAAGAGGGCACUCAGGUUACCUCCUUUCCCGCCUUCCAGCCUUGCCUGGGUCUUGGGGGCUGAGCAGGAUUUCUCCAGAGGAAGAAGAUGUGGAAAAGCAUUUCCAGGUGAAGGAACAGCAUGGGCAAAGCCUGGGGUCCACCAGCAUGUCAGGAGUACUUGGGGAGCAGCAUGUGUUUUAGGGGAGUCGGGAUGUGGGGGUGAAGAAGCAGUAUGGCCUGGGGGCAGUGGGGCCCUGGGUACCACUGUCCUAGAGGGCAGAGUGAGGGUGCCUGGAGCCUCGGCAGGAGCAGGUGCUUCCUGUGAAGUAGCCCCACCUCCUUUUGUCCUCAGCCUGGGGACAGAGUGCACUCGCCUGGCCUCCUGGGAUCCCAACACAAGGCAGGGCCAGGAAAGCCAAACAAAUUAAAACAUGUCAGAAACAAUCAUCAGAAGAGACAAGAGCUACUAGCUCCCAGCCAACACUCAGCCCUAAACGCACGGAACCGUUUGAUGGUGAAACCCAGUCCUGGAACAUUGGAGCAUUUUAGAUGGAUCUGGCAAGUUUUAUUCUGAUGUAAAGAGCCGGAUUUU